UGGCUACUUCCCCGGAAAUGAUCGCAGAGGGUGCACAGGUGCAGAGAUCAAGACCCUUAAGUUAAUGCUAGUGGAUGACGGAAAGAUGCUAUUUUUGUUUUCUUUCUAACAUUUAGGAGCAAAAUACACACCUCUGAUUUUUUCCUAUUCACUACCCAACACCAGAGAUGACCAAAAAUGAGUAUGUGUUCCAAGACAAUGAGGAUCAGCUGAGCCUGCAUUGCAGGAUGGAAAGUUCCCACUAUGCUGUUUUUGGCUAAUGAUAUUAGCACUUAAUGCAAAGAUUUACAUACUUCACUGUUACAGAAUCACUUGGAAUAUUUGUAAGGAUGCAGACACCCACUUCUCCAUAUCUCCUAACCCUGAGAUUUGGCUUUACAGGAUCUAAGUUACAAAAUCAGUAUAGUUAAAGGACCCCAGGUGAUUCUGAUAGAGGUGAUGUGCUGACCACACCUCAAGAACACUGAUAUAAGGACAUGCAGACACACGGUCCACAGGCACAAGAAUGCUUCUGGAAAGUGAUCUAUGUCAUAACUACUAGGAUUGUUGUUUAGGGUGCAAGCUGGCCAUACCAGAAAGACCAUGUGAUUUAAGUCAUAUGGUAU